AAUACCAGCUAUUAUUAUUUAUGUUGAAACUAAUUGUUUAGUUAACCAUAGCGUCGUGCUGCUGUUGGGUGUUGUAUGGUUGAUGGCUGGGAAGAUCACUGGUGUACCGAUGUCUCCCUGGUAAGGUGGACACCACACCAAAGCACAACGCCGUCACCUAAUAUCACAGCAACAACUUACGUUAUUACAAGGUACUACACCGAGGCCUCCAAGUACUACACCAUCGAGUAACCGGAGUAUUAUACCAUAACUAACGCGGCCCUGAAAUAUUACUCUGCCCCGAGCUACACCACCAAGAUACCGGAAUACUACACGAAUACGUAUGCUGCCCCAACCUACUACACCGAGGUUCCCAACUACUACAACGAGGCUCCAGCUGAUUACUAAACCAAAACGGUUGUAACCUACAUCAAAGCGCCCAAGAACUACUCUGCCCCGAUCUACACAACCACAACUUAGGCGGUCAAGUAUUACGCAGCCCUAACUUAAUACACAGAAGCUGCCUUUUCGUACUACGAUGAACAGAAAUACUACAUUGAUGCUCCAGUUUGACACACUGCAACCUAUGCUACACCUAGCUACAACACCGAAGCUCCCAAGUACUACACUGAAUAAGCCGCAUAUUACACAAGUCAACCACGUCCGCCGCCCUGGUUUACUUCACCGAGGAACUCAAGUAUUACUCGGAGCUACUACCAAACCAAGGCUCAUAAACAUUACACCAGCAUCCUGAUUAUUACAUCACUACUUACGCUGCUCCGACCUAUACACCGAAGCUCCAAAGUAUUCCUAUGCCCUGAGUUACUAAACUACUAAAGCAU